UGGGGAAUAUUGCACAAUGGGCGCAAGCCUGAUGCAGCCAUGCCGCGUGUAUGAAGAAGGCCUUCGGGUUGUAAAGUACUUUCAGCGAGGAGGAAGGCGUUGUGGUUAAUAACCGCAACGAUUGACGUUACUCGCAGAAGAAGCACCGGCUAACUCCGUGCCAGCAGCCGCGGUAAUACGGAGGGUGCAAGCGUUAAUCGGAAUUACUGGGCGUAAAGCGCACGCAGGCGGUCUGUCAAGUCGGAUGUGAAAUCCCUGGGCUCAACCUGGGAACUGCAUCCGAAACUGGCAGGCUAGAGUCUUGUAGAGGGGGGUAGAAUUCCAGGUGUAGCGGUGAAAUGCGUAGAGAUCUGGAGGAAUACCGGUGGCGAAGGCGGCCCCCUGGACAAAGACUGACGCUCAGGUGCGAAAGCGUGGGGAGCAAACA
rnacentral:rRNA from 1 species